GUGAAGGAAAAGAGAAAGGGAGGGCUUGGGGGGAAGCCUGGAUGAGGGAGCAAGCGACUACCCGCCAGCCAGCCCUAACUAUAUCAACCGUCUCCAAUUGCCGAUCCUUAUCAGUUAGGGCUGUGGGCUGAGCGGAUCACCACUGCUGCCCUCCUCCUCUGCCCCAUCCGUCCCUUCCUCUUCCCGCUCAGCCCCCGCCCACCGCUCUCGCCCGGCUUACAGGAAUUGUCCUGCAUCAUCUUUGACACCUGUGGUGGAAGCCUUUGUUCUGGCAUUGAAGAUAUCUCUCAUACAAGAUCCCAGAAUAGAUGAACCAAUCACCAUAUAUACCAAUAUGUCAAAGAAGACACAUUUCAUAACCAGGAAAUAUUCCAACUGAUUGAAAAGAAAUGGUUGUAGAAUAUAAAACAUGACAUCUCCACGCAAAAUGAUCUGUUGAUAUUUACCUCAGUGACCAGGAUUGCAACCUGACAAGAAAGAUCAAGCCCUCUCCAUUCCAUAGUAUAUACUAUCGACUUAUCUCAGCUGGUUCAUCUUAUUUCAUUUUUUAGAGGUUUUGUUAUAUCACUUCUUUGACACUAGUAUGCUAAAUGUCCCUUUGAAGCUAUGUGAUAUAUAUACAAAAGCACAACUACCUUUAAAUCUACAUCUAAGUGUCAGCUAUUACUAUGUGGAAUCUAUAUUUUGAACCCUUUACAAAUAUAUUUACAAAUAAAUUCAUAUAAUCUCAGCCAAAAAUAAAUUUUCUUUCCCUACA